GGCGAACGCUGGCGGCGUGCUUAACACAUGCAAGUCGAACGGAAAGGCCCUGCUUUUGUGGGGUGCUCGAGUGGCGAACGGGUGAGUAACACGUGAGUAACCUGCCCUUGACUUUGGGAUAACUUCAGGAAACUGGGGCUAAUACCGGAUAGGAGCUCCUGCUGCAUGGUGGGGGUUGGAAAGUUUCGGCGGUUGGGGAUGGACUCGCGGCUUAUCAGCUUGUUGGUGGGGUAGUGGCUUACCAAGGCUUUGACGGGUAGCCGGCCUGAGAGGGUGACCGGCCACAUUGGGAAUGAGGUACCGGCCAGACUCCUACGGGAGGGAGCAGGGGGGAAUAUUGCACAAUGGGCGGAAGCCUGAUGCAGCAACGCCGCGUGCGGGAUGACGGCCUUCGGGUUGUAAACCGCUUUCGCCUGUGACGAAGCGUGAGUGACGGUAAUGGGUAAAGAAGCACCGGCUAACUACGUG
rnacentral:rRNA from 1 species